rnacentral:rRNA from 1 species
UACGGAGGGAGCAAGCGGUAUCCGGAUUUACUGGGUUUAACGGGUGCGUAGGCGGGCAUGUAAGUCAGUGGUGAAAUACCGGAGCUUAACUUCGGAACUGCCAUUGAUACUAUAUGUCUUGAAUAUUGUGGAGGUAAGCGGAAUAUGUCAUGUAGCGGUGAAAUGCAUAGAUAUGACAUAGAACACCGAUUGCGGAGGCAGCUUGCUACGCAAAUAUUGACGCUGAGGCACGAAAGCGUGGGGAGCAAACAGG